AUUGAACGCUGGCGGCAUGCCUUACACAUGCAAGUCGAACGGUAACAGGUUAAGCUGACGAGUGGCGAACGGGUGAGUAAUGUAUCGGAACGUGCCCAGUCGUGGGGGAUAACGUAGCGAAAGCUACGCUAAUACCGCAUACGAUCUACGGAUGAAAGCGGGGGAUCGCAAGACCUCGCGCGAUUGGAGCGGCCGAUAUCAGAUUAGGUCGUUGGUGAGGUAAAAGCUCACCAAGCCUGCGAUCUGUAGCUGGUCUGAGAGGACGACUAGCCAAACUGGAACUGAGACACGGGCCAGACUCCUACGGGAGGCAGCAGUGGGGAAUUUUGGACAAUGGACGCAAGUCUGAUCCAGCAAUGCCGCGUGCAGGACGAAGGCCUUCGGGUUGUAAACUGCUUUUGUACGGAACGAAACGGUGAGCUCUAAUACAGUUUGCUAAUGACGGUACCGUAAGAAUAAGCACCGGCUAACUACGUGCCAGCCGCCGCAGUAA
rnacentral:rRNA from 1 species